ACCCGACGUUUCAGUCUAAAUCAGGGGAGUCCGCGCUUUCUGCCGCCUGGAUCAAAGUCACUGAGUCAAAAGUAAUCCCAUGGCAAAAUGUGUUUGUUUUUAUCCUGACAAAAAUCACAAAUAAUAAUUUUAAUUAAUUAAUUUAUUUUUUUGAAAUCUGCUCAACAAUAAAUUCAAAUGCAAUAUUUUAUUGACCCUAAUGGGUCUCGAAAGAGCAUGUUAUUUUUUGCAAUGCAUUGUGGGAUGCGGUCGCCAUUUUCCGAGGCAACGGCUUUUGGUUGCGGUACUGGUUGGGAGGCCGUGCUGUGAAGUGCUUGAAAAAUGUACCGUACUGAAGAGAGCGGCGACACGCUAGACUCUGUUCUGAAGGGUCAUCGUCUGGAAAUAAAAGCUCUAUGAUCGGUGGGAUCGAUCCCUAUGAGCCUGAUAACUGGACAAAGGAUUUACGUCACCGGUCGCCACUGUCGGGCAGAGGUUGCGUUCUGUCUCAUGAAUGGAGUUAGUUUUUAUCCCGGCGAAGACGCGGACAAAGCGACUUCGAAUGGGUCCAGGAUCUGCGGAUUUUACGUCUUCAAGAGAAAGCUGUCGACAUCUCAGAGGCUCUGCAUUCUCAGCAGCUGACGGAGGCUCCAGUAAAGCCCUGGGUUAUUCUUGAUGCAAGUGGCGAGGUGGAUUCUGCCCGUUGGACCUGCAGCGGUGCUCUUUAAGACUGAGGCCGCCGUGAGGAGGAGAGGUUGAGAAACCUGCACCGAUGAGGCGGUGUACAGGAGUCCAGGAGGAGGAAGGUCAAACAAACCGGGCCUUGCACGCCUCGGUGGCUUUACCCCUCUGUUCGUCAAGUUGGCAAAACCCUCUGCAAAGCGGAAACGUUUUAACUUCUCACCGAAACUGUGUAUUUUUAGCAUAUACUUUUGUCUUUACAUCUAUCUGGUUUGUACUUCCUUACCUCGCGAACAGAGAUAUCGAUCGGGGGUUUGCUUUGCGCAGUGUAUUUUUCUUCGUUAUCUCAUUUGCAGUGUUGUCUGUUUGCACGGCGUCUUUUGUUGUUGGCACCUUGUUUUCACCGUUACUGUGACUUGUGCAGUAUCAUUGCACUGCACAGGAGUUGAAAUAAAGACUUUCAUGCUAGA